AGAGUUUGAUCCUGGCUCAGAAUGAACGCUGGCGGCGUGCUUAACACAUGCAAGUCGUACGAGAACGCUUCAGCUUGCUGAAGCUAGUAAAGUGGCGUACGGGUGAGUAACGCGUGGGUAAUCUACCUUCGAAUUGGGGAUAACGUUGCGAAAGUGACGCUAAUACCGAAUAAUAUCAUAGAGACGUUGGUUUUUAUGAUCAAAGAUGGCCUCUCCUUGGAAGCUAUUGUUUGGAGAUGAGCCCGCGUCCCAUUAGCUUGUUGGUGGGGUAAUGGCCUACCAAGGCAACGAUGGGUAGCUGGUCUGAGAGGAUGAUCAGCCACACUGGAACUGACACACGGUCCAGACUCCUACGGGAGGCAGCAGUGAGGAAUUUUGCGCAAUGGGGGAAACCCUGACGCAGCAACGCCGCGUAAGUGAUGAAGGCUUUCGGGUCGUAAAGCUCUGUCAAGUGGGAAGAACUCCCGUGAGGUUAAUACCCUCAUGGUUUGACGGUACCACUGAAGGAAGCACCGGCUAACUCCGUGCCAGCAGCCGCGGUAAUACGGGGGGUGCAAGCGUUAUUCGGAUUUACUGGGCGUAAAGCGCGCGUAGGCGGCCGUUUAAGUCAGAUGUGAAAGCCCGGGGCUCAACCCCGGAAGUGCAUUUGAUACUAUUCGGCUUGAGUAUGGGAGAGGGAAGUGGAAUUCCUGGUGUAGAGGUGAAAUUCGUAGAUAUCAGGAGGAACACCUGUGGCGAAGGCGACUUCCUGGACCAAUACUGACGCUGAGGCGCGAAGGCGUGGGUAGCAAACAGGAUUAGAUACCCUGGUAGUCCACGCAGUAAACGGUGAUCACUAGGUGUAGCGGGUAUUGACCCCUGCUGUGCCGCAGCUAACGCAUUAAGUGAUCCGCCUGGGGAGUACGGCCGCAAGGUUAAAACUCAAAGGAAUUGACGGGGGCCCGCACAAGCGGUGGAGCAUGUGGUUUAAUUCGACACAACGCGAAGAACCUUACCUGGAUUUGACAUCUCGGGAAUUUCUAUGAAAGUAGGAAGUGCCCUUCGGGGAGCCCGAUGACAGGUGCUGCAAGGCUGUCGUCAGCUCGUGUCGUGAGAUGUUGGGUUAAGUCCCGCAACGAGCGCAACCCCUAUCUUUAGUUACCAGCACUUCGGGUGGGGACUCUAAAGAUACUGCCCCGGUCAACGGGGAGGAAGGUGGGGAUGACGUCAAGUCAUCAUGGCCCUUAUGGGCUGGGCUACACACGUGCUACAAUGGCCGGUACAGAGGGUUGCCAACCCGCGAGGGGGAGCCAAUCUCAGAAAACCGGUCGUAGUCCGGAUUGCGGUCUGCAACUC
rnacentral:rRNA from 1 species